rnacentral:tRNA from 1 species
GGCGCUUUAGCUCAGCUGGUUAGAGCGACGGAAUCAUAAUCCGCAGGUCCGGGGUUCAAGUCCCUGAAGCGCCACCA